rnacentral:rRNA from 1 species
UACGAAGGGUGCAAGCGUUACUCGGAAUUACUGGGCGUAACGCGUGCGUAGGUGGUUUGUUAAGUCUGAUGUGAAAGCCCUGGGCUCAACCUGGGAACGGCAUUGGAUACUGGCUUACUAGAGUGCGGUAGAGGGGUGUGGAAUUCCCGGUGUAGCAGUGAAAUGCGUAGAUAUCGGGAGGAACAUCUGUGGCGAAGGCGACACCCUGGACCAGCACUGACACUGAGGCACGAAAGCGUGGGGAGCAAACAGG